rnacentral:tRNA from 1 species
GGCAAUUUGGCCGAGUGGUUAAGGCGUGAGAUUAGAAUCUCUUAAGAGUUUCGACUUAUAACCAUCUCUUGGGCUCUGCCGCGCAGGUUCGAAUCCUGCAGUUGUCG